rnacentral:snRNA from 1 species
AUUCUCUUGAAGAAGACAGCCUCACCUGGAUACAGAGAAAAUUAGCAUGGCCCCUGGGCAAGGAUGACAUGCAAAUAUGUGAAGUGUUCCAUAUUUUC